GAGAUUUUCGCAAUGCCCGAAAGGGUGACGAAGCGACGCCGCGUGCGGGAAGAAGGCCUUCGGGUUGUAAACCGCUGUCGGGAGUUAAGAAAUGUAAGGAUGUUAAUAGCAUCUUUGCUUGACUAAGGCUCCGGAGGAAGCCACGGCUAACUCUGUGCCAGCAGCCGCGGUAAUACAGAGGCGGCAAGCGUUGUUCGGAAUUAUUGGGCGUAAAGAGCACGUAGGCAGCUAUGUAAGUCGGUUGUGAAAGCCUUCUGCUUAACGGAAGAACAGCAGUUGAAACUACAGCGCUUGAGUGCGGGAGGGGAGAGUGGAACUUCUGGUGGAGCGGUGAAAUGCGUAGAUAUCAGAAGGAACGCCGGCGGCGAAAGCGGCUCUCUGGCCCGUAACUGACGCUGAGUGUGCGAAAGCCAGGGGAGCAAACAGGAUUAGAUACCCUGGUAGUCCUGGCCGUAAACGAUGGGCACUAAGUAGAGGGGUUUUA
rnacentral:rRNA from 1 species